rnacentral:piRNA from 1 species
UAACAGGCCGUGGUGUGUAUGCCAGA